rnacentral:rRNA from 1 species
UACGUAGGGUGCAAGCGUUGCCCGGAUUUAUUGGGCGUAAAGGGUGCGUAGGCGGCGCGGUAAGUCGGGUGUGAAAUCUCGGGGCUUAACUCCGAAACUGCAUUCGAUACUGCCGUGCUUGAGGACUGGAGAGGAGACUGGAAUUUACGGUGUAGCGGUGAAAUGCGUAGAUAUCGUAAGGAAGACCAGUGGCGAAGGCGGGUCUCUGGGCAACUACUGACGCUGAGGAGCGAAAGCGUGGGGAGCGAACAGG